AUGAGGUGGCCAAAGUACUGGAGUUUCAGCUUUAGCAUCAUUCCUUCCAAAGAAAUCCCAGGGCUGAUCUCCUUCAGAAUGGACUGGUUGGAUAAGGAUUUGCUAAAUACUGAGACGCAGUACUUCACAAAUUUGUUGCCUUCAAAAUAUUGAUAUUUAAUGGAUAAUACUUUCCCUGGUACAGGAGUCAUAGCAUUUUUUGGCUGCUCAGUCGAAUUCCUUUUCACUGUGGUACAGGAUGCACCCUUAAUAAGGUCAAGGCUCACAUUCUUGUUCUUUGGAAAGCAAUUUCAAAGCUAUGAAGUCAUCAGUAGAGACAACUCUGCCUCCCUAUAGUAUGAACCUGCCAGUGCAAGAGAUGUAAGAAAGAGACAUGGGAAGAUCCUUUGGAGGAGGAAAUGGCAACCCAUGCCAGAAUUCUUGUCUGGAGAAUCCCAUGGACAGAGAAGCCUGGUGAGCUAUCAUUAUGAGGUGGUAAAGAGUCAGACACCACUGAAGCAACGCACUGACAUUGAAGAAUUUACCGUGUGCUAAAUACUGUGAGGAAGGCUGAGUGCUGAAGAAUUGAUGCUUUUGAACUGUGGUGUUGGAGAAGACUCUUGAGAGUCCCUUGGACUGCAAGGAGAUCCAACCAGUCCAUCCUAAAGGAGAUCAGC